rnacentral:rRNA from 1 species
AGAGUUUGAUCAUGGCUCAGAACGAACGCUGGCGGCAGGCCUAACACAUGCAAGUCGAGCGCCCCAGCAAUGGGGAGCGGCAGACGGGUGAGUAACGCGUGGGUAUCUACCUAGUGGUGCGGAAUAGCCCAGGGAAACUUGGAGUAAUACCGCAUAAGCCCGAAAGGGGAAAGAUUUAUCGCCAUUAGAUGAGCCCGCGUUGGAUUAGCUAGUUGGUGGGGUAACGGCCCACCAAGGCGACGAUCCAUAGCUGGUCUGAGAGGAUGAUCAGCCACACUGGGACUGAGACACGGCCCAGACUCCUACGGGAGGCAGCAGUGGGGAAUAUUGGACAAUGGGCGCAAGCCUGAUCCAGCCAUGCCGCGUGAGUGACGAAGGUCUUCGGAUUGUAAAGCUCUUUUGGCGGGGACGAUAAUGACGGUACCCGCAGAAUAAGCCCCGGCUAACUUCGUG